AUGCUACAACAUGCUUGUUAUUCUGAUGCCCAUGUUCUUGGGGUUUCUUUUACUUCCAAAGUAUCUGGGAAUGUCUGGUCAUUAUAUAACAUCUAUGGGCCAUGCCAAGGCAAUGACCGUGUUCUUUUCACUAAUUGGUUAUAUGAUCUGGAUAUCCCAGACUCUGAAGAUUGGUUGCUCGUGGGUGAUUAUAACUUUAUACAGUCCUCUGAGAAUAGAAAUAAGGCAGGGGAUUUAAACGACAUUCUAAUGUUCAAUGACAUAAUCCGGGCACAAGCCCUAGUUGAAAUACCCCUCAAAGGCCGCUCUUACACAUGGAGCAAUAUGCAGGAUGACCCGCUCCUUGAACAACUCGAUUGGUUCUUCUCAUAUUGCCAUUGGACUCAAACCUUCCCA
rnacentral:rRNA from 1 species